CCUACGGGUGGCAGCAGUGAGGAAUAUUGGUCAAUGGGCGCAAGCCUGAACCAGCCAAGUCGCGUGAAGGAUGAUUGUCCUAUGGGUUGUAAACCUCUUUUGUCGGGGAGCAACGCGCGCCACGUGUGGCGGGACGGAGAGUACCCGGAGAAAAAGCAUCGGCUAACUCCGUGCCAGCAGCCGCGGUAAUACGGAGGAUGCGAGCGUUAUCCGGAUUUAUUGGGUUUAAAGGGUGCGUAGGCGGAAGGUUAAGUCAGCGGUCAAAUGUAGGUGCUCAACACCGGCCUGCCGUUGAAACUGGUGUUCUUGAGUGAGCGAGAAGUAUGCGGAAUGCGUGGUGUAGCGGUGAAAUGCAUAGAUAUCACGCAGAACCCCGAUUGCGAAGGCAGCAUACCGGCGUUCAACUGACGCUGAGGCACGAAAGCGUGGGGAUCGAACAGGAUUAGAUACCCUUGUAGUC
rnacentral:rRNA from 1 species